GCCUCCCAAAGUGCUGGGAUUAUAGGCGUGAGCCACCACGCCCGUCCAGUAUUUUUUUUUUUUUUUAAGACAACCUUCUAAGUUUGCCUCUGAAACUAUCCUGGGAGCAACUGUCCUCUGGGGAUUUAUGGUCUAGUGCAGUGGUUCUCACACUCUACUGCAUACCAGAAUCCCUGGAGGACUCAGGAGAGCACGGAGCCCUGGGCCUCACCCUAGAGUGUCUGAUUCAGUAGGUCUGGGCUGGGCAGAGAAUUUGCAUUUCUAACAAGCUCUCAGAUAAUGCUGAUGCUGUUGGUUUGGGCCUGAUCUAAUAGUUUAGCUGACACAUCAGUAAACACAAUUCAAAGAUUAAAUGUUGUAAAAUAAGUACAAGUAACAUGCAAUGGGAAAUCGGGUGUAGAAAAGUAAGGCAAAAGAUGAAUGAACAACUGAAGAUCGGAGAAGCCAUAGUGGAAGCGGGAAAGGUUAAGCAGGAUCUUAUAGCCUUGGCAGGUAGGGCAGGGCAUUUUGGAGAUGACACUCUCCUAUUGGGAGGGAGAGUGUAAAAUGUAUCUCAGAGUG